rnacentral:ncRNA from 1 species
CUGCACCCAAACGUCCAGGGUACCCACAGCGCCAAGCGCCUGAGGGUGAAACGGGAAGUCGGUGCAAACCCGACGCUGCCCCCGCAACGGUAAGGAAUCGCAGGCACCACGCCUGCAGGUAGGGUCAUUGCCACUGUGCGCAUGCAUGGGAAGGCGACACUAUCUGUAUUCCGAGCCCGGAGACCGGCCCUGGACGCCAGCCUGACA